rnacentral:SRP_RNA from 1 species
CAACCCCCAUGCGGCGGUAUCUCGCUGAAUCCCCCAGGGCCGGAAGGCAGCAAGGGCAGGUGAGCUCUAUCGGGUGCGUGGGGGCCUUCU